CCCUGCCGUCUACUUCCCUGGUACGUUCCUUCUCACUUCCUCCUCCCGAUCCCCUUUCUGCUCCUCGUCUUUGCCGCUGCUCCCCACCGCCUGCGCCGCCGGUGGCGCAGCACGAUGCCGUCCUGCCGCUGCUCCCCACCGCCUGCGCCACGGCACGACGCCGUCGGUGCACGCCCCAACUUAUCCGGGGAGGUCGUCUAGCACGACCGUGGCAUUGGCCUCCCACCCGGCGCGCCGCCGCUGCACCGCGUUGCCCAUGAAAGACUGAGCCAGCACGAUCUGUUUGCCCUGCCGUCUGGUAGCUUGCUACGUAGGUUUGUUCUCCACUUUUUCCCCUCCCGAUCUCUUUUUCUGAGACAUGUUUACUUAAUGAAAGAGGCUCCAGUCCUUAUAAAUAGGGCCAAAUAACCUGCCCUAAGAGCUAAGAUUGAAUUACUACUGGCAGUUUCAGCAAACAUUUCAGACUAGACUGCAGAAUUUUUAUCCCUUCACCAAGGAAAGGUUCAGGAGCUGCAAACUUGAUCUUUCUGUUCUUCCUGGACAACUUGACCAAUUUGUACAAGGUACAAGUAACUUUGCAUAUCGAAUUACUUGAUCUGAAGUGCAGAUCAAUAUUUAAUCACGUAUGUUCUCUGAUUUCUUCACAUGACGGUUCUGCCUACUGUGACCAUAUCUUAGUUUACCUGGUGGAGAUUAGAAUCAUGUUGUCACAGUAAAGUGGAUAGAAGCAAUAUACCAUUCAUCUCAAAUAUCAGGCACAUUGGUACUUCUGUUUGAAUACAGUCAUCAGGCUUCAGAACUUGCCAGCAAUAUUUGAAACAAAUAAAAGUGAGUAUGUUGGAUGACAUCAGCUAUUUGAAACAAAUAUUUGUGUACGAGAUCAAACCUAUUAUUACCUAAUUCAGUGUUCUAUAGUUGACAACAUAGUUAUGCUAAUUUUACUUCAUUUAUAUUGCUGGCUGCCCGCGGCAACACGCGGGGCUCUUACUAAUUUCUCUAAAGUGCAGCAGCGAAGCAACAGUGAUGUGCGCGAAUAGUGGCUUUACAACAACAGAACAUGGUGAAACCUUUAGUCCCGUCAUAUUCGACGAAGACACCAGAAAAUUGAGUAUACUGUAGCUUAAUCCCCUUAAUCUCAUUUAAAAAAUAACCCGAACAUGAAACUUUUAUGGUGUAGAAAAAUCCAAAGUUCAUAUAGAAAAUUUAAAAAUAAUUAAUACGUAGUGAAGAUUCGUCUAUAAGUGUAUUUUAGAAACAUCUUAUAGUCAAAGAUAAGUAAAAGUAAGAGGAAAAAUCGAUGUAUAAAUCUAUUAUAUAUAUAUCUAUAUCUAUCUUUAUCUUUGCUACUUUUACUUUAAAGAGAGAUUCGUCCGUCCUCCGUCCGUUCACCCUCUUUCCCAACUUCGUACAGCCAAAAAAAAAAAAUCACGCCCACGCAAAGGAAAAGGAAAAAGAAAAAAACCCGCACGAAACGCACCCAUGACGCUUGGCCCCACCAGUCCGCCGCCUAACCACCAAUGUCCCCAUACGAACAAGCCAGUCACGCACGCAAAAAAAAAACGCAUCUCCAAACGCGCACGCCGCCACCCUAGACGUUGUUUGCCUCGCGAAAGGAACCGUAGCUGGGUGGUUAUAAAAGUCUCAGUAGCAUUUAAGAUUAUGCUUUCUGUAGUAGGCGACGUACCUGUCGAUAGCGAGACGGCUGUAGUGAUUUCGUCAAUCUCUUCAGAAUAUGCUGACCAGACUUCGAAAAUGCUCAUAGGGAUAGGAUUUACAUAAGUACGUCUCAGAAGAGAGUGUGCGUGCGUCGUGAGCUUCUAAAAAAGACAUAGUCUGCCUCCACCUCCGCCGCCGUCCUUCGCUGCCUCCGCCACCGCCGUGCGCCGCCGCAUCCGCCUCCUUCACCACCGCCGUGCACCGCCUCCACUGCUGUUGUGCGCCGAAAGGGAGGGGAGGGGGAGGAGGAGGCGGCGGCGGUGGAGGGCAUGUAGCGUCCGCCGUGAGGAGGAGAGGGCGGCCACCAUGGGAGGGGGAGAGGGCGGCCACCAUGGGUUCUUGACACCGUUUUCGUCGCUCACCCCCGCUAACGCCUCUCACCGCUGCCGCUCGCCAGCGCCCGCGUUCUCCGGCGACGCUCACAACCGCCACGAUGGUGCCAUCCCUAGACGGAGCCUCGGCGGCCGCGGCGAUGGCAAAGGGGUGGGGCACGUGUAGCGACUGGCCCUCCUCCGCCUCGGCGUGGUUCUGGUGCAUGGAGGCCGUGGUGUAGAACAUCGCGGUGGCCGUGUUCGCCGCGGAGCGUUGGUGGCGGCGCAGCGCCGCUCCUCCCAUGGGCGGGUAGUCGUGGGAGUGGGACGUGUUGGUGGGGACGAGCAGGGGGAGGAGGAGGAGGAGAGAGAGGCGGAAAAGGAGCGCCAUGGAGGGUGGCUUACUCGAGAGAGCCCCGGCCGCCGACGCUCGCCCCUGACGCCGUUGCCGCUGCUCGCUCGCCGACGCCUCUCACCGCCGUAGCUCGCGAGCGCCUGCACUGUCCGGCGACGACGUUCGCCUCCGCCGUUGCCGCCGCUCGCCCCCGUCGUCGUCGCUGCCGCCUCUCGCUAGCGAUCACGCUAUCUGCCCCCAACGCCUCUCGCCAGCACUCGCACAUUCCACCACGAAAAAAAAACUUCCCACGACAUCGCACAUCCCACCAACGUACCCAGCCGAGUCCACCGCCUCCGCCGCGCCCGCACAGAACUAGGCCCCGAGCUGAACGGGACUACGCACGGUGACGAAGAGCUGCAGGCCAAGCCCCAGUGCCGCGACAGGGCCGGUGGAUCCGGCGACCUCCCAUUCUACGUCUUCCUGCGAGAGGGAGCUGAUGGCGAUGGCAAGAAGGUGGACCUGCGAUGCCCCAAUGCGGCCAACAUGUUCCACGCCUACAUCGAGCGCUGCAUCGCCAAGAUGGCCAAGGUCAGCCGCUCGUCGGAGGGAGGGAAGUCUCCCAUGUCCCUCUUUUCCCGCCAGUCACGCCGGUCCUGCUCCUCCUUUGAAGAUGGCAGCGUGAAGUCAGGGAGCAUCAAGAAGGUGGAUUGUGCCGCCAAGAUGGAGGAGAUGGAUCGGCAGAAGACUGAUAAGAAGUCGUCGUCACACAAGAAAUACGAUACUGCAUGAACAUUUCUUAUAAUGCAUCAUAGAAUUUUCAGUUCAUUUUUCUCAUUGUGUUUUCUUCUUCUAGAGAUUUUUGCAUAGUCAUCAGGAGUUGUAUCUAGAGAAGUCGGGGACGGGCAGACAACCUCCGGUUGAUCUUGGGUGAGAAACUCAUAAUUUACACCAUUUUGGCAUGUACUUUGCUUAUAUAGUUAUAUGCUCUCAUCUUCUCCUACUCCAUAGGAUGAACUGCAAACUAUUGUUGUUACAUUUACCUACUUUUUGUGAUUUUGACAUUUACUGCAAGCUGAAAGGGCGUACCAAUCUUUUAAUAGAUACUCGAUUGUCCCAGUUAAAUUUUUCCACGUCUGAUCUCAGAGAGGACAAGCUUGUUGAGUUAAAGCAUUUCCUGUCAACAAAGAUUGUUUAAAUACUGUUAGAAUUAUUAAAAUUUCAUCUGAGCGAAUUAAAAAGGAGGAGAAAUUUUGAACUUGCUUUUUUUUUUCCUGCUCAGAGAUUAUGAAAUCUUUCUUCUUCAGAUUAUACUGGGCCCGUAUCAAAUCUUAUACAUGGUCAGCUUUUGAUUUGAAAAAAAAUUGCAUUUGUUGCUCUUGUAACAUCUAUUUUGUAAUUACAUCACCAUUAGAAAGUGCUAUCAGCAUGUGCUGCAUGUCAUUCUUGUAGGAGAGUAGA